rnacentral:rRNA from 1 species
GACGAACGCUGGCGGCGUGCUUAACACAUGCAAGUCGAACGAUGAAGCCCAGCUUGCUGGGUGGAUUAGUGGCGAACGGGUGAGUAACACGUGGCCAACCUGCCCCAAACUCUGGGAUAACUCCUCGAAAGAGGUGCUAAUACCGGAUACGAACUAGACAGACAUCUGUACUAGUUGGAAAGUUUGUCGGUCUGGGAUGGGCCCGCGGCCUAUCAGCUUGUUGGUGAGGUAACGGCUCACCAAGGGUACGACGGGUAACCGGCCUGAGAGGGCGACCGGUCACAAUGGUACUGAGACACGGCCCAGACUCCUACGGGGGGCAGCAGUGGGGAAUAUUGCGCAAUGGGCGAAAGCCUGACGCAGCGACGCCGCGUGAGGGAUGAAGGUCUUCGGAUCGUAAACCUCUUUCAGUAGGGACGAAGCGAAAGUGACGGUACCUAAAGAAGAAGCACCGGCUAACUACGUGCCAGCCGCCGCCGUAA